GUGCAAAACGACUCUCGGCAACGGAUAUCUCGGCUCUUGCAUCGAUGAAGAACGUAGCGAAAUGCGAUACUUGGUGUGAAUUGCAGAAUCCCGUGAACCAUCGAGUCUUUGAACGCAAGUUGCGCCCGAAGCCCUUGGGCUAAGGGCACGCCUGCCUGGGUGUCACCGA
rnacentral:rRNA from 1 species